CAGCCUGAUGCAGCAACGCCGCGUGCGGGAUGACGGCCUUCGGGUUGUAAACCGCUUUUAGUAGGGAAGAAGGGCUUCGGCUUGACGGUACCUGCAGAAAAAGGACCGGCUAACUACGUGCCAGCAGCCGCGGUAAUACGUAGGGUCCGAGCGUUGUCCGGAAUUAUUGGGCGUAAAGAGCUCGUAGGCGGUUUGUCGCGUCUGCUGUGAAAACUGGAGGCUCAACCUCCAGCCUGCAGUGGGUACGGGCAGACUAGAGUGCGGUAGGGGAGAAUGGAAUUCCUGGUGUAGCGGUGGAAUGCGCAGAUAUCAGGAGGAACACCGAUGGCGAAGGCAGUUCUCUGGGCCGUAACUGACGCUGAGGAGCGAAAGCGUGGGGAGCGAACAGGAUUAGAUACCCUGGUAGUCCACGCCGUAAACGUUGGGCGCUAGAUGUGGGGACCUUUCCACGGUUUCCGUGUCGUAGCUAACGCAUUAAGCGCCCCGCCUGGGGAGUACGGCCGCAAGGCUAAAACUCAAAGGAAUUGACGGGGGCCCGCACAAGCGGCGGAGCAUGCGGAUUAAUUCGAUGCAACGCGAAGAACCUUACCAAGGCUUGACAUAACCGAGAACGCCCUAGAAAUAGGGAACUCUUU
rnacentral:rRNA from 1 species